rnacentral:rRNA from 1 species
AUUGAACGCUGGCGGCAGGCCUAACACAUGCAAGUCGAACGAAUGGCGGACGGGUGAGUAAUGUCUGGGAAACUGCCCGAUGGAGGGGGAUAACUACUGGAAACGGUAGCUAAUAACGCCUAACAUCGAAUGUGCCCCGAGGGGAUUAGCUAGUAGGUUUGGUAACGGCUAACCAAGGCGACGAUCACUAGCUGGUCUGAGCGGAGGACCGGCCACACUGAAACGGAGACACGGUCCAGACUCCAAAGGGAGGCAGCAGUGGGGAAUGUUACACAAUGGGCGCAAGCCUGAUGCAGCCAUGCCUCGUGUAUGAAGCAGGCCUUCGGGUUGUAAAGUACUUUCGUCGGGGAGGCGUUACUCGAAGAAGAAGCACCGGCUAACUCCGUGCCAGCAGCCGCGGUAAUAC